AUGGGGGCAGCCUACAAAAUGAGAGAGUGAGCUGCGCUGGAGGAGCAGAUGUGAGAGCGCACGGUUGGGGCCAGGCGCGCCACGAUAAUUAGCCGCGGAUAUAUUAAGGGGAAUAACCGGAUUAUGAGGAUUUGAAGAGAAAUCGCCAGAAUCCGGUGUCAUACAAGGCGAGGGAUUAAAUUACGCGCCUUCACUUCUCCGGUCGCCGUUAUGGGGAUAGACCGGCGGCGGAGAGCGUCGCUGGCUCUCACCUUGAACUUCCUCGCCUUGUUCCUCGCCGUGUCGGCUCUCACCACCAGCUACUGGUGCGAGGGGACGCGGAAAGUGGUGAAGCCGUUCUGCACCGGCCCGGUUACCACCAAACAGUCGUUCUGCAUCAGGUUCAACAGCUCCAACCUCAACGACACGCGGCUGGUGCAGUACAUCUGGGAGACCGGGGAGGAUAAGUACGUGAUGAGGAAGUUUCACACCGGCAUCUGGUUCUCCUGCGAGCAGAACAUCAACAUGACCGGUGAAAAUUGCAGAAGUUUCCUUUAUGUUGCACCUUCCAAUGAAAGAGGAGUGCUGUGGCUGUGCAUUGUUGCAGAGUGCCUGUAUAUCCUCCUGCUGUCCACUGGAGGCAUCCUCAUGUCAAUAGAGGUGUGUCAUUUUGGCAAUGUCAUCGACGGCCUCAAGCUCAACGCCUUCGCUGCCAUAUUCACUGUGCUCUCAGGUCUGUUGGGGAUGGUAGCACACAUGAUGUUCACCACAGCCUUCCAGCUGACUGUCAGUCUGGGCCCGGAGGACUGGAAACCUCAGACAUGGGACUACAGCUGGUCAUACAUUUUGGCGUGGAGCUCCUUCACAGCCUGUAUGGCAUCCUCAGUCACCACCAUCAACCGCUACACCAAAACCAUCCUGGAGUUCAAGCACAAGCGCAGAAACAUUGAGAAGAACCUGAAGAUCAAGCAGAAGCUGUUGGAGCUGGACUCUCCAGAGCAGGUGUGGGACAUGUACAUCAGUUCUGUGCCAAGCACUGCCGAGGAGCUGCUGGACCUGUCAUCCAACGGCCGCAAACUCUCCAACACCUCCAUCUUCCUGGACCUCAAUGACCUGCCUGACCCACAGGGAGAAGAAUACUGCUAGAGGAGCAACAUGUAGCAUUUUGAAACAUCAGCAUGCCAUUGUCGUGUUUAAUGUCAUACAGUACUUACUGUAAACAAAAUCAGACCAUGGUUGAGAGCUCUAAGCUGCAUUAAUUUUUAUUUAUUUAUUUAUUUAUUUUGGCCACUUAUGAGCGACAAGAAAUUCUUUCAAAGUUGACAUGGCUAACAUGUUAGCAAACAGCUGCCUAUUUAACCAACCAGCAGACACAGCAACAUCCACCCGAGUCAUGAUUCUGGACACCUGAAGGAAUAGAGCUGUCUCUCUCACUGUGUUUCAGAUCUGCCACACCCCUUUCUGAGUGCUUGGAUCACCCACACGUGAACUUCAUUUGGACUUCAGUGGAGCUGUAUAUCAACCCCCAGAACCAGUGCUCCUCGCCAUUUGGCCACUGAGCUGUUGGACUGAAGCUGCUGUUGUUGAGCUUGCUGCUAAUCGUUGAAACUCUGUUGUUUUUUCUUUUUAUAGCACCUUGAUGCAGCUCUAUUUAGCUUAUCUGUUGUCUCUGCUGACUAGUUGGUAGAAGUGCCUUGUUGAGCUAGUCUUGGUAACUUUAAGGAAGCCUUGUAGGGGUUUUCUGACAUUUAUUUUGUUUCCCCUGUUUUCUCCUUUUUGUUGUUAAUUAGGGAGCUUAGUAUUUUUCUGUAGACCAAUUGAGCUUUUUAUUUUCUAGUUAGUGUGGGUUUUUUUGCUUAUUAUUUUGGCCUUGGAGACCCUGAUGCCUUUGAUUGCUUCCAUUUCUGCAAUUUUGGCUGG